rnacentral:rRNA from 1 species
UACGUAGGGGGCGAGCGUUGUCCGGAUUUAUUGGGCGUAAAGAGCUCGUAGGCGGCUUGUCGCGUCGACUGUGAAAACCCGUGGCUCAACCAUGUGGUCUGCAGUCGAUACGGGCAGGCUAGAAUUCGGUAGGGGAGACUGGAAUUCCUGGUGUAGCGGUGAAAUGCGCAGAUAUCAGGAGGAACACCGGUGGCGAAGGCGGGUCUCUGGGCAGUAACUGACGCUGAGGAGCGAAAGCGUGGGGAGCGAACAGG